AGCAGUCGCCACGGUAAUACGUAGGUCCCGAGCGUUGUCCGGAUUUAUUGGGCGUAAAGCGAGCGCAGGCGGUUUGAUAAGUCUGAAGUUAAAGGCUGUGGCUCAACCAUAGUUCGCUUUGGAAACUGUCAAACUUGAGUGCAGAAGGGGAGAGUGGAAUUCCAUGUGUAGCGGUGAAAUGCGUAGAUAUAUGGAGGAACACCGGUGGCGAAAGCGGCUCUCUGGUCUGUAACUGACGCUGAGGCUCGAAAGCGUGGGGAGCGAACAGGAUUAGAUACCCCAGUAGUCCCUGUCUCUUAUACA
rnacentral:rRNA from 1 species